rnacentral:rRNA from 1 species
UACAGAGGGUGCGAGCGUUAAUCGGAUUUACUGGGCGUAAAGGGCGCGUAGGCGGUGAGAUGUGUGUGAUGUGAAAGCCCCGGGCUCAACCUGGGAAGUGCAUUGCAAACUGUCUGACUGGAGUAUAUGAGAGGGUGGCGGAAUUUCCGGUGUAGCGGUGAAAUGCGUAGAUAUCGGAAGGAACGUCAAUGGCGAAGGCAGCCACCUGGCAUAAUACUGACGCUGAGGCGCGAAAGCGUGGGGAUCAAACAGG